GGCGCACGGGUGAGUAACGCGUUUGCAACCUACCUUUAACUGGGGAAUAGCCCGGAGAAAUUCGGAUUAAUACCCCAUAACAAUAUGAGGAGGCAUCUUCCUAUAUUUAAAGCUCCGGCGGUUAAAGAUGGGCAUGCGUGACAUUAGCUGGUUGGUGAGGUAACGGCUCACCAAGGCUACGAUGUCUAGGGGGUCUGAGAGGAUGAUCCCCCACACUGGUACUGAGACACGGACCAGACUCCUACGGGAGGCAGCAGUGAGGAAUAUUGGGCAAUGGGCGCAAACCUGACCCAGCCAUGCCGCGUGCAGGACGAAGGCGCUAUGCGUUGUAAACUGCUUUUGAACAGGAAGAAACUCCCGCUCGUGAGCGGGAUUGACGGUACUGUCAGAAUAAGCAUCGGCUAACUCCGUGCCAGCAGCCGCGGUAAUACGGAGGAUGCAAGCGUUAUCCGGAUUCAUUGGGUUUGAAGGGUGCGUAGGCGGAAUACUAAGUCAGUGGUGAAAUCCUGCAGCUUAACUGUAGAACUGUCACUGAUACUGGUAUUCUUGAAUGCA
rnacentral:rRNA from 1 species